rnacentral:lncRNA from 1 species
GGAUGAUUUUGUCAUGUGUCAUGCUUCAAGAAAAGCAGGCUGGUCUUACAUCUAUUUGGAAUAUUUAGAUGGCCAAGGUCAAAGAGUAUCAAGGUGCUUCUAACUGAUCUCACUCUUAUUAUUUGUGGUUGCCAAUUUCCGUGUUUCGAAGGGAAAAAAUGCACUGCUGCUUCAUGUGUAUGUUGGUUUAAAUAUGAUACAAUAGUUUGCGCAUUGUGUAUCCUAUAUGCCCAAUGGUUUCCUGAUCUAGGGCUUAUAUUGUGUACUAAAAUAAUCCUAUUUUCUUUGAAAAGUGGGUUUUUAUUGGAAAUACGUCAAACCUUUACUUUUUGAUUUUUGUUUCUUUCAGUUUCAUUUUAUGCCACUUUCAGGUUAAAAGUAGAAAAUAUACAUGGUUCUCAAUGUUUUAUGCUUUGGUUAUUUGGAGUUACCCUCAAACUAAUGCCAGCCUCCAUUUGUCCAAUCCAAAGUAAACCUAUGUGCAUGUCUACUAUAUUGUGCGCGAGUAAGCAAAAUUUUAUAUUGGCAUGUGGAACUGUUACUUGGUCCAUGUUUAGCACUUGGCAGAUGAACCUGGAAUGUGAACCAUGCAUAAAUAGCAAGGCAUGAUGAUUAGUAAAUUGUGUUAAUACUCGGUACUUUUCUUCCAACUAAAGUAUAGCUCCAGUUCAGAUGUUAGUUACAUUAUGUCUACUUGAAUUUAGUGCAUUUUUUUGGUGCCCUCUUUCUGUGUUGAAAAUAUGUAAAUUGAUGCAUCCUGUGUAGCUUGUCACUCUGUUUCUACUUGGCAAGGUCUGCAAUAGAUUAUAUAUGCAUUACAUGGUCUGCUUCUUUUGCCUGCGUCAACAUAUGUAUGUUGUUCGUAUUGUCUUUUCAUGCUUAUUUUUUCAGGGAUCCCUCACCCUCUUAAUUCAUUCGUAUUCUUUCCUUCUUAGUUGCAGUGUUGCAAGGUAUACCCUGCCUUGGAGAAGGGCAUUCUGUGGGCUGCUUCUACAGGUUACAUAUAGUUUUCCCACUGCUUCUCCUAAUUAUGCACAAUGCCAAAACCAGACAGAAAAGAGUGGGCACUAUUAGUUUUACUUUCUUAUCUGCUAUCAUAUUUUAUUCUUUACAGAGUAUCAAAUCUGAGAUCAAUCCAGUUUUG